rnacentral:rRNA from 1 species
AACCUGGUUGAUCCUGCCAGUAGUCAUAUGCUUGUCUCAAAGAUUAAGCCAUGCAUGUCUAAGUAUAAGCGACUAUACUGUGAAACUGCGAAUGGCUCAUUAAAUCAGUUAUGGUUUAUUUGAUGGUACCUACUACUUGGAUACCCGUAGUAAUUCUAGAGCUAAUACACGCAGGAAGACCCGACUUCGGAAGGGUUGUAUUUAUUAGAUAAGAAACCAAUCCAGCUUGCUGGUUGUGUGCUGAGUCACAAUAACUGCUCGAAUCGCAUGGCUUAACGCCGGCGAUGGUUCAUUCAAAUUUCUGCCCUAUCAGCUUUCGAUGGUAGGAUCGAGGCCUACCAUGGUGUUUACGGGUAUCGGAGAAUUAGGGUUCGAUUUCGGAGAGGGAGCCUGAGAGAUGGCUACCACAUCCAGGGAAGGCAGCAGGCGCGUAAAUUGCCCGAAUCCUGACACAGGGAGGUAGUGACAAGAAAUAACAAUACAGGGCUAGUUUAGUCUUGUAAUUGGAAUGAGUACAAUUUACAUCUCUUCACGAGGAUCAAUGGGAGGGCAAGUCUGGUGCCAGCAGCCGCGGUAAUUCCAGCUCCAAUAGCGUAUAUUAAGUUGUUGCAG